GACGAACGCUGGCGGCGUGCCUAAUACAUGCCAGUAGAACGCUGAAGGAGGAGCUUGCUCUUCUGGAUGAGUUGCGAACGGGUGAGUAACGCGUAGGUAACCUGCCUGGUAGCGGGGGAUAACUAUUGGAAACGAUAGCUAAUACCGCAUAAGAGUAGAUGUUGCAUGACAUUUGCUUAAAAGGUGCAAUUGCAUCACUACCAGAUGGACCUGCGUUGUAUUAGCUAGUUGGUGGGGUAACGGCUCACCAAGGCGACGAUACAUAGCCGACCUGAGAGGGUGAUCGGCCACACUGGGACUGAGACACGGCCCAGACUCCUACGGGAGGCAGCAGUAGGGAAUCUUCGGCAAUGGACGGAAGUCUGACCGAGCAACGCCGCGUGAGUGAAGAAGGGUUUCGGAUCGUAAAGCUCUGUUGUAAGAGAAGAACGAGUGUGAGAGUGGAAAGUUCACACUGUGACGGUAUCUUACCAGAAAGGGACGGCUAACUACGUG
rnacentral:rRNA from 1 species